rnacentral:rRNA from 1 species
UUGUCACCAGUAGAGGUAAAACCGGAAGCUCGAGUGGUAGCCGCGUUUAUUGGGCCUAAAGCGUCCGUAGCCGGUCCGAUAAGUCUCUGGUGAAAGCCCGCAGCUUAACUGUGGGAAUCGCUGGAGAUACUAUCGGACUUGAGGCCGGGAGAGGCUGGAGGUACUCCCAGGGUAGGGGUGAAAUCCUAUAAUCCUGGGAGGACCACCUGUGGCGAAGGCGUCCAGCUGGAACGGACCUGACGGUGAGGGACGAAAGCCAGGGGCGCGAACCGGAUUAGAUACCCGGGUAGUCCUGGCCGUAAACGAUGCGGACUUGGUGUUGGGACGGCUUUGAGCUGUCCCAGUGCCGAAGGGAAGCUGUUAAGUCCGCCGCCUGGGAAGUACGCCCGCAAGGCUGAAACUUAAAGAAAUUGACGG